CUACGGGACGCUGCAGUGGGGAAUAUUGGACAAUGGGGGAAACCCUGAUCCAGCAAUGCCGCGUGUGUGAAGAAGGCCUGCGGGUUGUAAAGCACUUUCGGUUGGGAGGACUGCUUCUAGCACUAAUAUUGUUGGAAGUUGACGUUACCUUCAGAAGAAGCACCGGCUAACUCCGUGCCAGCAGCCGCGGUAAUACGGGAGGGUGCAAGCGUUAAUCGGAAUUACGGGGCGUAAAGCGCGCGUAGGCGGCUAGAUCAGUCGGGUGUGAAAGCCCCGGGCUUAACCUGGGAACUGCAUCCGAUACUGUCUAGCUUGAGGACAGGAGAGGAGAGUGGAAUUCCACAUGUAGCGGUGAAAUGCGUAAAUAUGUGGAGGAACACCAAUGGCGAAGGCAGCUCUCUGGCCUGAUACUGACGCUGAGGUGCGAAAGCGUGGGGAGCAAACAGGAUUAGAUACCCUUGUAGUC
rnacentral:rRNA from 1 species